AUUGAACGCUGGCGGCAGGCCUAACACAUGCAAGUCGAGCGGAGCGGCGGUCGGGUGCGUAAUGCUUAGGAAUCUGCCUGUUAGCGGGGGAUAACGUCCGGUACCGGGCGCUGAUACCGCUUCCUCUCAGCUGCGCCUAGGUGGGAAUAGCUAGUGGGGGGGGUAAAGGUCUACCAAGGCGACGAUCCGUAUCUGGUCUGAGAGGAUGAUCAGUCACACGGGAACUGAGACACGGUCCAGACUCCUACGGGAGGCAGCAGUGGGGAAUAUUGCACAAUGGGCGAAAGCCUGAUACAGCCAUGCCGCGUGUGUGAAGAAGGUCUUCGGAUUGUAAAGCACUUUAAGUGGGGAGGCGUUACCAGCAGAAGAAGCACCGGCUAACUUCGUGCCAGCAGCCGCGGUAAUUC
rnacentral:rRNA from 1 species